ACCCAAGACUGAAGCCCAUCAGAAGCCAGAAAAAGUAGGAGGCAGUUGAUAUGACUGAAUCAUCUCUGCUGGCUAGGACACUUUGGUCUCUGAGAUCAGCAGAGGCAGUGGUUUCUCUGCUCUCUGCUUCAGAAAUAUUUCUGCUUCUCUCCUCAUGGUCAGAGAGAUCUUCAGAGUACUUGAGAAAUUGUUCCAAUUUGAGCCCAUCAAAUAAGCAGCAGCACUGGUUUGGAAAAGAAUCCCAAUUGAAGGCUUGAGAAGAUUUACUCUCCAAAGGUCAUUUUGAAAGCUGUCCUUAAGGCUUGGUUGGGUGUGCUUUGCUUCCAAGCUGAGCUAUGGAUGAACUAUCCUGCCAGCAGUCCUGGAUUUGGGAGUCAAGAGAGGGCAAGAACAGAGCAGGGCAGGACUCCAUGUCUGCUGGUGUCCACGAGACACAUUUGGCAAGCACUCCCAAAUCCAAACUUUCACAGAGCAUCAGAAAUCACUGGAAGCCAUGGGUUCCUUCUGAGUUCUCUCUCUUUGCUGAUACUGUUCGCAACCUCCAAGAGCCAGCUAGACCAGAGACUUUGGAAUCCUCUUCAAUCCCCCUUCCUCAUCCACUCACACAUGGUACACAGUACUUUAAAAGGAAGAAAAAUUUAUAAGACCUUUGACUGACAACCUACAAAAGCAAAAGCUGAGUAAGGAUACCAACACUUGAAUCCAAGGAUAAUGGAAAAAUAACAUCUGACUGGAAUAAAUGGAUCACAUAUAUAAGCCAUGCUACCAUGCUACUUAUGUGAACUGAAAUACGGAUAAGGAAGCAUAUCUGGUUCUAAUUUCUGAACUCAACACCAGAUGUUUUCAAGAUGGUGAGACUCUAAAGAAUGGAACUUACAAGGAACGGCCCUGCUCUGUGGGUGGAGAAAGGGAAGAAAUGACAUAAAAAAGACAACCUUACUGUAUGCCAAAGAAGCAUUCCCAACUACCUGGAAUAAUCUGCAUAAGUCAAGAUGAAUUUCCCCAUAUACAUCAAAAAGAGUGACAAGCACUUCUGUUUAUCAGCUCGCCUGUGGGGACUGCCACAUGGUAACAGCAUAAAGAGAAUUCAUAAAUUACUUUAUCCUCAUACUUUGAAAAUAUGUAAUUCCUGAUAAAUGUUAAACAUUUUGAGAGAUGUACAUUAUUUUGAAAUCUUUGCAUAAAAGGACACUUAACACUAAUGAAUCUAUCUUCAGGGCAGCAGUGGAGAUGCAGACAUAGAGAACACGUUUGGACACAGUGAGGGAGGGAGAAGGUGGAAUUAUUUGAGAGGGUAAACAUAUGCAUUGCUGCUACUGCUAAGUCACUUCAGUCAUGUCCAACUCUGUGCGACCCCAUAGACGGCAGCCCACCAGGCUCCCCUGUCCCUGGGAUGCUCCAGGCAAGAACACUGGAGUGGGUUGCCAUUUCCUUCUCCAAUGCAUGAAAGUGAAAAGUGAAAGUGAAGUCGCUCAGUCAUGUCUGACUCCUAGCGACCCCAUGGACUGCAGCCCAUCAGGCCCCUCCGUCCAUGGGAUUUUCCAGGCAAGAGUACUGGAGUGGAGUGCCAUUGCCUUAUGCAUUACCAUAUGUAAAACAGAUAGCUGGUGGGAAUUUGCUGUAUAACACAGGGAACUCAAAGCCAGUGCUUUGUGACAAC
ensembl:lncRNA